rnacentral:rRNA from 1 species
GAUGAACGCUGGCGGCGUGCCUAAUACAUGCAAGUCGAGCGAAGCGGGGACGGGUGAGUAACACGUGGAUAACCUCCUCUAAGACUGGGCUAACUUCGGGACACCGGAGCUAAACCGGAUACUUCUAGAUGGCUCCUCGCUGCAUUAGCUAGUUUGUACGGUAACGGCUUACAAAAGCAACGAUGCAUAGCCGACCUGAGAGGGUGGUAAGCCGCACUGGAAAUGCGCUACGGUCCAGACUCCGAGCAGAGUCACCAAUAAAUAAUCUUACGCAGUGGGCGAAAGCCGUACAGAGAAACGCCGCGUGAGUGAUGAAGUUCUUCGGAUCUGAAAACUCUGUUAUUAGGGAAGCGGUACCUAAUCAGAAAGCCACGGCUAACUACGUGCCAGCAGCCGCGGUAAUUC